rnacentral:rRNA from 1 species
UGUUUCGGCUAGGGGGCCAUCCCGGCUUACCAACCCGAUGCAAACUGCGAAUACCGGAGAAUGUUAUCACGGGAGACACACGGCGGGUGCUAACGUCCGUCGUGAAGAGGGAAACAACCCAGACCGCCAGCUAAGGUCCCAAAGUCAUGGUUAAGUGGGAAACGAUGUGGGAAGGCCCAGACAGCCAGGAUGUUGGCUUAGAAGCAGCCAUCAUUUAAAGAAAGCGUAAUAGCUCACUGGUCGAGUCGGCCUGCGCGGAAGAUGUAACGGGGCUAAACCAUGCACCGAAGCUGCGGCAGCGAACGUAUCACUUAAAGCGAUUCAGCGGGUUACGAUUGACGGAGCGAAGCGACGUCAAAGCGUAUACAAAGUCGAGUCGGUUUAAGGAUACGUUCGUUGGGUAGGGGAGCGUUCUGUAAGCCUGUGAAGGUGGCCUGUGAGGGUUGCUGGAGGUAUCAGAAGUGCGAAUGCUGACAUAAGUAACGAUAAAGCGGGUGAAAAGCCCGCUCGCCGGAAGACCAAGGGUUCCUGUCCAACGUUAAUCGGGGCAGGGUGAGUCGACCCCUAAGGCGAGGCCGAAAGGCGUAGUCGAUGGGAAACGGGUUAAUAUUCCCGUACUUGGUGUUACUGCGAAGGGGGGACGGAGAAGGCUAUGUUGGCCGGGCGACGGUUGUCCCGGUUUAAGCGUGUAGGCUGGUUUUCCAGGCAAAUCCGGAAAAUCAAGGCUGAGGCGUGAUGACGAGGCACUACGGUGCUGAAGCAACAAAUGCCCUGCUUCCAGGAAAAGCCUCUAAGCAUCAGGUAACAUCAAAUCGUACCCCAAACCGACACAGGUGGUCAGGUAGAGAAUACCAAGGCGCUUGAGAGAACUCGGGUGAAGGAACUAGGCAAAAUGGUGCCGUAACUUCGGGAGAAGGCACGCUGACAC